GUUGAAACAUUGGUUCCCAUAUGAUCACUGAAGUUAAGCAAUGUCAAGUCUGGUCAGUACCUAGAUGAGUGACUGCUUGGAAAUAACAUGUGCUGUAAG